AGCGAACGCUGGCGGCAGGCUUAACACAUGCAAGUCGAGCGGGCACUUCGGUGUCAGCGGCAGACGGGUGAGUAACACGUGGGGACGUACCCUUCGGUUCGGAAUAACGCUGGGAAACUAGCGCUAAUACCGGAUACGCCCUUUUGGGGAAAGGUUUACUGCCGAAGGAUCGGCCCGCGUCUGAUUAGCUAGUUGGUGGGGUAAUGGCCUACCAAGGCGACGAUCAGUAGCUGGUCUGAGAGGAUGAUCAGCCACACUGGGACUGAGACACGGCCCAGACUCCUACGGGAGGCAGCAGUGGGGAAUAUUGGACAAUGGGCGCAAGCCUGAUCCAGCCAUGCCGCGUGAGUGAUGAAGGCCUUAGGGUUGUAAAGCUCUUUUGUCCGGGACGAUAAUGACGGUACCGGAAGAAUAAGCCCCGGCUAACUUCGUG
rnacentral:rRNA from 1 species